GGAGGGCCGUAACUGCGGUCCAAGCUUAAGAGGGCUUCCGCGAUGCCUUCGUCGCGAGUAGUCAGUCAACUUCUGGAACUAUGUCUUCGGUGCCUAAUAAUCAAUAUUUCCAGAUAUAUAUCAGAUAUUAAAUAUCUGCCUCCCAACAUUAAAGAUAGACUGAUUAAAAUAAUGAGCAUGCGGGGUCGGAUAACAGAUUCCAAUAUAAAUGAGGUGUUACAUCCUGAAGUCCAAAGACUAGAUCUGAGGAGCUGUAAUAUCUCAGAUGUGGCUCUCCAGCACCUGUGUAAGUGCAGAAAACUGAAGGCACUAAAUCUAAAAUCCUGCAGAGAACAUAGAAAUAGCAUAACUUCAGAAGGUAUGUUUACGAUCACUGAGUACAUGGGCAGGCCAAUACUUAGCCCCUGAUAUUUUGUGGAGCAAAGAAGGAAAAAAAUACCUUAGGAGAAUAUGAGGGCACCAGCAAGGGAGGGAGAGGGGAGAAGACAAUACGAACAAGGCGUGUCUGAAAAUGUUAAAACAAAACAUUGUUUUGUAUGUUAACUAAGUAUUAAAUAGAGAAAGAGAUGGGGAAAUAUGGGCCAGGCAUGGUGACAUGGAACUGUAAUUCCAGUACUCAAGGAGGCAGAAGCAAGAAGAUCAUUGCAAAUUUGAGGCCAGCCUGGUCUACAUAGUGAGUUUUACACCGGCCUGAGCCUACAGAGCAAGAGAAUAUGAAGAGUUAAAAAACUGAAGAAAAAAAAAAAGAAUAAGAAAAGUGAUCCAAGUUAGAAUUCUUGUAGAUAACCGUUUAUGAAACGUGUUGUCACUGCCUUAUAUUUGAAAUGGUACCGC
rnacentral:lncRNA from 1 species